rnacentral:rRNA from 1 species
GACGAACGCUGGCGGCGUGCUUAACACAUGCAAGUCGAACGGAAAGGCCCUGCUUUUGUGGGGUGCUCGAGUGGCGAACGGGUGAGUAACACGUGAGUAACCUGCCCUUGACUUUGGGAUAACUUCAGGAAACUGGGGCUAAUACCGGAUAGGAGCUCCUGCUGCAUGGUGGGGGUUGGAAAGUUUCGGCGGUUGGGGAUGGACUCGCGGCUUAUCAGUUUGUUGGUGGGGUAGUGGCUUACCAAGGCUUUGACGGGUAGCCGGCCUGAGAGGGUGACCGGCCACAUUGGGACUGAGAUACGGCCCAGACUCCUACGGGAGGCAGCAGUGGGGAAUAUUGCACAAUGGGCGGAAGCCUGAUGCAGCAACGCCGCGUGCGGGAUGACGGCCUUCGGGUUGUAAACCGCUUUCGCCUGUGACGAAGCGUGAGUGACGGUAAUGGGUAAAGAAGCACCGGCUAACUACGUGCCAGCAGCCGCGGUGAUACGUAGGGUGCGAGCGUUGUCCGGAUUUAUUGGGCGUAAAGGGCUCGUAGGUGGUUGAUCGCGUCGGAAGUGUAAUCUUGGGGCUUAACCCUGAGCGUGCUUUCGAUACGGGUUGACUUGAGGAAGGUAGGGGAGAAUGGAAUUCCUGGUGGAGCGGUGGAAUGCGCAGAUAUCAGGAGGAACACCAGUGGCGAAGGCGGUUCUCUGGGCCUUUCCUGACGCUGAGGAGCGAAAGCGUGGGGAGCGAACAGGCUUAGAUACCCUGGUAGUCCACGCUGUAAACGGUGGGUACUAGGUGUGGGGUCCAUUCCACGGGUUCCGUGCCGUAGCUAACGCUUUAAGUACCCCGCCUGGGGAGUACGGCCGCAAGGCUAAAACUCAAAGGAAUUGACGGGGCCCCGCACAAGCGGCGGAGCAUGCGGAUUAAUUCGAUGCAACGCGUAGAGCCUUACCUGGGUUUGACAUGGAUCGGGAGUGCUCAGAGAUGGGUGUGCCUCUUUUGGGGUCGGUUCACAGGUGGUGCAUGGCUGUCGUCAGCUCGUGUCGUGAGAUGUUGGGUUAAGUCCCGCAACGAGCGCAACCCCUGUUCACUGUUGCCAGCACGUUAUGGUGGGGACUCAGUGGAGACCGCCGGGGUCAACUCGGAGGAAGGUGGGGAUGACGUCAAGUCAUCAUGCCCCUUAUGUCCAGGGCUUCACGCAUGCUACAAUGGCUGGUACAGAGAGUGGCGAGCCUGUGAGGGUGAGCGAAUCUCGGAAAGCCGGUCUCAGUUCGGAUUGGGGUCUGCAACUCGACCUCAUGAAGUCGGAGUCGCUAGUAAUCGCAGAUCAGCAACGCUGCGGUGAAUACGUUCCCGGGGCU